UAAGUCAGUGGUGAAAUCCCAUCGCUUAACGAUGGAACUGCCAUUGAUACUGUUAGUCUUGAAUGAGGGUGCAGUGGUUGGAAUGUGUAGUGUAGCGGUGAAAUAGCAUAGAUAUUACACAGAACACCGAUUGCGAAGGCAGAUCACUAACCCUAAAUUGACGCUGAGGGACGAAAGCGUGGGGAGCGAACAGGAUUAGAUACCCUGGUAG
rnacentral:rRNA from 1 species